CAGUGGGGCAGACGGACCAUGGAGUGUGUGUCUGAGUGGAGGGAGAUGGUGGAUCAUGGCAGGGCUGGUGGCGAAGAGGACACUGGGAAAUCUGUCAAGGCUGCCCUGGUGAGCGGAUCAGGGAGAGACCACCGGUUUUUCUAUAUCUUCUAAAAUGUCUGCAAUGACUGUAUGCCUGUGUAAUCAGCCUUCUGCUUCGUGCCAUGUGUCUCUUGGAUGAUGGAAGAGACCUUGCACGCACCCGAUGCCUGUGGUCUGAGAAGCAGAGCUCGGUGAGGACCACCAGGAAAGGAAGUGUGGAUAGAGCAAUUUCAAGUUUUGAGCAUCAAAUGGAAUUUUCACUGGCUUGCGGGUAGUGUGGAAAUUAUUGGUAGGUCUGAUUAUUAUUUAACCUGAUCCUGUCCUUCAUGUUUGAGAGGAUACUGAGAGGGGAAACACACAGUUUCUUUUGAAUCUGAGAGCAAAGGCUCUCUUUUGAAGGCUGCUGUAUUUGCCUCAACUGCAGCAAAUUAAUGCAAUCCCAUGAAAAUUCUUCAUUGUGAGGGAUGGUGACAAGUGAUCAGCAUGUGCCUUUGAGGAAAGGGAUUUUGAUCACACUGAAAUAAACAUCUCUCCCUUAAAUUUUCUGUAAUUAAAAAAACUCGCAUGUUACUUGGGCAUUUUACUUGGGAGUCUUAAAAUUCUUCUAAAAUGCUUCUUGUUGCACUUAGUGACACUACAAAGUAUCUGGCUUAAUUAACCAAUGGAUACGCUUCAUUCUAAACUCCUUGUGAAUCAUGAUCCUGCUUCGUCCAAGGCUAGAUUCACAUCCGGUAGGGAGUCUUCAACUGAAUCGUUUGGCACACUGUUUUCGCUUUUUACGUGUGGUUUUGAACAGCGGUUGUCCUUAGAAUUGAAAUAGCUUAUCUGAAUUCUAAGCAAAAUGCCAGGCGUCCUAGAAGCGAACUUCCUCUGACAGACAGUUCCAGGAAACAUGACUCAUCUGCCCAGGAAGUGUGCCGUGGAAGUGCUAUGAUAACAGAGUCAGUGCAGAUCAAUCGCUGCUAAGACACCAGAUCUCCUCUGCUUCUCUGCAUUUCUCCAGCCAGCAAACAGGAUUUUAACUACUGCACUCUUCGAUUCAGAUACCCAGGCCCUGUGGCUUUUGGAGGAAAUCUGUGAGGCCAGGGAAAGGGAGCCCUGCUUUCAACAGGUGGGGCCAAUCUACGCUAAUCACGCUGGGAAGGCUGUUUUGGAAAUCAAAUAACCCAUGAAAUUGUGUUUAUGUUGAAGAAAAUGAUAAAUAAUAUUUAUUAGCACUUACUCUGUACUGAGUAUCACUCUAAGCCCUUUCCAUGUUAUUACCUAAUAAAAUUAAAAUUCCUAGAGGCUUCCCUGGUGGCACAGUGGUUAAGAAUUCUCCUGCCAAUUCAGGGGACACGGGUUCGAGCCCUGGUCCGGGAAGAUCCCACAUGCGGCGGAGCAACUAAGCCCGUGCGCCACAACUACUGAGCCUGUGCUCUAGAGCCUGCGAGCCACAGCUACUGAGCCCGUGCGCCACAACUACUGAGCCUGCACUCUAGAGCCUGUGCUCCGCAACAAGAGAAGCCACGGCAAUGAGAAGCCCGCGCACCGCAACAAAGAGUAGCCCCCGAUCGCCGCAACUAGAGAAAAGCCCAUGUGCUGCAACAAAGACCCAAUGCAGCCAAAAAUAAAAAUAUAUAAAUAAAUUUAUUUUUUUAAAUAAUAAAAUAAAAUUCCUAGCAGCUCUAUGAUGCAGAUAACAUUUUUAUCCCCAUUUUAGAAUUCUGGAAACAGGUAUAGAGAGGUAAUUCAGCAUUUUGAAAGGCAUCAACAACUCGAGAAGAAUUGUUCUUGUUUCCUUCCUUGGUAAUUAUUUUUUUAAAAAAAGAAUUGUUAAAUUCAAAAAUACAGCAAAGUCCUUAUUCUCUGUGAUAACAGAGAGUAACACAAAUAAUUUUUUAAGUAACAGUGAUAAUACCCAAAACUCCUGUUAUUCAAUGGAAUCAACAUUUUCUUCACUAUAUUUCUUAAUAGAGCUUGGAAUAAAAUAAGUGGACCAAAAUGUUGGCUUUCUCAUUUAUCAUUUACCCUUUGUGAGAAUUGUCAAAUGCAUUAGUGAAGCAGGCUGUAGACAGAAAGCAAGAGGAAAAUUAAAUGUCUUGAGAAAUGAACCGUUAUUUAUAUCUCAGCCUAAAGAACUGAACGCUCUCUAUUUAGGAAUUUCUUUAUACCUAACUAAGGUGCUGGGGCAAAUAAUGACAUUAUGUGGGCUUCCCUGGUGGCGCAGUGGUUGAGAGACCGCCUGCCGAUGCAGGGGACACGGGUUCAUGCCCCGGUCCGGGAGGAUCCCACAUGCCGCGGAGCGGCUGGGCCCGUGAGCCAUGGCCGCUGAGCCUGUGCGUCCGGAGCCUGUGCUCUGCAAUGGGAGAGGCCACAACGGUGAGAGGCCCGCGUACCGCAAAAAAGGAAAAAAAAAAUAAAUGACAUUAUGUAAGUGUUUACUAUGUGCCAGUCUCUUUAUAUAUAAAAACUCUUUUGUGCCGACUAUCCCAUUUUACAGAUGGGGAAAGUGGGCCACUUAGAAGCUAAAUAACUUGCUCAACAUUUCCUGGCUAGUUAGUGGCGAAGUCCGGGUUUAAACCCAGGCUACCUGGCUCAGAAUCUAUACUAUACCAAACUAAACAGGUGCCGAGACUACUGAGCAAGAUUUCAUGUUCUAUUAUGGAGACUGAGUGCCUGCGAGACAUCCUCCAGUGAGUGAGCAAGGUGAGGUGCUAAAUCUUCGUUUCUUAUUAACAUCCACAAUAGCCUGCAGAUAGAAGAGAGCUGGCCUGAGCAGUUCAAAUUCCAGGGAACGCCCCAAGAACAACAGAAGGAUCAGCGCCUGGAGCCGCUUCCAACUGUGGUUUACCUUUAAACCAAAACGUUGGGAAACUGAGGUCAUUGUGUGUGAGAUCUGUACAGAAUCAGCUGUGUCUUCAAGAGACCAGCAGUGAUGAAAUCACAGACAUCUGUGGACACUUUGCUCAUUAGAGAGGAUGCAAAGUCUUUAAAAGGAUAAAAGAAGUCAAAGUCCUCCCAAGAGCUGAAUGGUGGAGGAAGGACACUUGGAAGAGAAAGAGAACAGACUCUGAACUUUUGGAGCCAAACAGACCCAGGCUGUGCCUGGGAGUGGAAGUCAGACCUCAGGAGGGAGGAACGGCCACUCAUAACCGACGAGUCACGAGGAAGGGAGACGACUCGUCCAAGAGAUGGAGAGACAGCGUCCUGAAAGGUAGGAGGAAGAAUCUGAAUGGCCAAGAGGGAGUUAUCCUCUCUGUGGGGUGAGCAUGGGGGAGGAAUAAUAAACAUUUCUGGAGUACUCAUACUUGCCAGCUGUGCAGAUCACUUCAUUUGAUCUUAUAACAACUUCGUGAGUAGUUGUAAGUAUGUUUGCCAUUUAAUACAUGAGGAAGCCGAGGAAGCCAGAGGUUAACUUCUGUACCCAAGGUCACAGCCAGUGAGAAAGAGGAAAGCUUUGAACCCAAGUGGACUUCAGAGCCUGCCGGUUAUUGCGACCUGGGUCCAUCACCUCCUGGCAGUGUGAUCUUAGAGUGAGUAUUGUUGCUUACCUGUGGCCCAGUCCUCCUGUCUGUGAAUGACCACAAAACCACCCAAUUGCUAAAUUAUCCUGAAGAUAAGCAAUAAUUAUCUAUCAAGGUGUCUAUAAGAGUGGCUGGCACAUAGUAGACAUUGAUUACUGUGAUUCUUUUUUUUAAAAUUUUUACUGGAGUACAGCUGAUUUAAAAUGUGUUAUGAUUACUGUAAUUCUCAAAAGAGACGUUUGAGAUGUGAAGGAGAAUUUUAUAAUCUCUCAUGAACUUGAACAUUUUGCUUCUUUGUAUGAGAAUAAAAAUGGGAAAAAGAUUUUGGAAAACAUCUCUAGAAUAAUGUUUCCCUAAGAAUGUUCUGUGGAUUACAAAUGUCCAAUAGGUGUUAGAAUUCUGGGCCAAGAUGGAAUCCAUCUGGAAUGUUGCCUUUCGUGUCCCCGAGUGUCUCCACCCUGAGGGAGGCCCCUCUGCCUCUCCUGGUUGUUGCUCUGCACGCAGUUCUAUCAGGCUGUAUCCUGAUGUCUUUCUUUUCAUUGUGUUACCACGCCCACUCCAUCCAGUGUUCGUCCAGUGCGGUUGAUUCUACCCCCCAGGUGCUCUCACAUCCCCUGUCGUUGACACAUUCUCCCUCCACAGCCGUGUGAAGGGCUGGCCAUCUCGCACCCGAGCUGCAACAAUCCUCUUUCUGAAUCUCCAAAGUUCCUCUUACCCCUCCCACUUAUCCUCGAAUCCAGAGUGUGGCAAAGCGCCAAUCCAGCACACUGUCUCUGCUCACUCUUGGAAGAUCUCUUGCUGCCCCAAGCGGUCACUGGAACUCUGCACCUGCGCACAGGGCUCUAACCUGCAGGUCCCUGCCCAGCUGGGAGCCGCAGCCUUGGCCUCAGACACGCUGUGUCCUUUCGGUUCUGACAGAUGUUCUCCUCGACCCGACUCGAGCCAAGCUCCUCUGAGCCUUCCUCCCAACUAAGCCUCAGCCUUGGCCUAUAAGGAAUGCAGAGUCUCAGCGCAGAUGAUCUCAUCCACUUUUUCUCCCCAAAUCAAAGCACCGAAACAAACACGAAUGUAGUUUCUAACAGCUCAAGGCCACAUCCCCAGGAUGACCCCAGGCCCCCUCCAAGUGCCCGCCUGAGAAAGCACAAGGCCGCCUAAAGGAUUUACUGUUUGUUCCAGCCAACACCUGAGGAUAGGCCCCGGACCACCCUUUCUUGGAGCGCAUACUAAAAAGGGCUUAAAAUUGUGACUCCUUCUCCUGUCCUUUUGAGAUGUAUUGUGUAUGUAUCUCCUACAACUCACAGUGUCUUUCUCAAGGAUCUAAACUCCACUCCUUUGAAAUGAAACCAUUAGGAAGGACAGGCCCCUUGCCUCCCAGUCUCUGUGAGAGGAUUGAAUCCUUACCUCCAUCACUGCCAGAUACAGACACAGAGGCCUAACCACGCUCAUAGUGACCAACGCUCGCUAGUUUUUCACAUCCCUGACUCUGCUCGAGGCCCCGCUGGUCCCUUCCCAGCUCCCUGAUUCUCCCUUUAAAACACCCGGUCAUCUCUGUACAAAUUGAAGUUAAGUUCAGUUCAUGCUGGACCUGCUUCCCUAUUGCAGGAGCACAACGCUGAUUAAAAUAUGUUCUUUCCGGGCUUCCCUGGUGGCGCAGUGGUUGAGAGUCCGCCUGCCGAUGCAGGGGACGCGGGUUCGUGCCCUGGUCCGGGAAGAUCCCAUAUGCCGCAGGGCGGCUGGGCCCGUGAGCCAUGGCCGCUGAGCCUGCGCGUCCGGAGCCUGUGCUCCGCAACGGGAGAGGCCACAACAGUGAGAGGCCCGCGUACCGCAAAAAAAAAAAAAA